rnacentral:rRNA from 1 species
UACGUAGGGGGCUAGCGUUGUCCGGAAUCAUUGGGCGUAAAGCGCGUGUAGGCGGUCCGGUAAGUCCGCUGUGAAAGUCGAGGGCUCAACCCUCGAAUGCCGGUGGAUACUGUCGGGCUUGAGUACGGGAGAGGCGAGUGGAAUUCCUGGUGUAGCGGUGAAAUGCGCAGAUAUCAGGAGGAACACCGAUUGCGAAGGCAGCUCGCUGGGACGUUACUGACGCUGAGACGCGAAAGCGUGGGGAGCAAACAGG